AGGAGGUGAACUCCGAGGACGCCAGGCCUGCGACGCAGACGGAACAGGAACAUUCUAACUCAGGUCACGAGGCACAGAGCCGGAGAGACCCUUGAGACCGUGCUGGGCCCUCUAGAAACUAAUGCUCUGGAGCCGCAGAAACCCCAGGAUCAGUCCGAGAGCCUGUUUUUUUUUAACACUAUAGACAACUAUACGGACUGCGCCCCGCUCCCCAGG